UAAUCGGCGCAGCCGUUCUUUCUUUUCUCCACCUUUUGUGUUUGUUCGUGCAAAUAAGAAAAUCAAGUAUCAUAUACCAAUUAUCUUCCUAUGAUCAUGAUGAUAUCAUGCCAUCAUCCUCGUAUUCAUCAUAGAAAGCAACACAAAUCAUAUGCCCUUAUUACUUCAUUUAUUAUUAUCAAAGUCAAUUUAUCCAUAUAAUUCCUACGGGUAUACAGAGUAUUUAUCAAAUUCAUACUCCAUCUUUGCGAGUGGAAUGUCAAAUCGAAGAAAUCGGAGCAGUGUGUGUCUCGUAGGUUAUUUUACUUUAACUUUUAUUCGGAAGUCAAGAUAAAUGGAGCAGAUUGAUCGUGAAGGACCGCAGUUCAAGUUGAAGGACCUCAAGUGUUAUCGUUUAGUCUUUUCAGUUGUACAUUUGUAAAUAGAUCACCUAGUAAUCAAGUUGUAAUAGUUUGAGUUUUGUAAGCCUAGCUUAGCUCUUGACAAUGUGGUCAAGUGUGGCGGUGAUACCUCCGAUUUAGGUGUAAGCUUCUGAAAUUUUAAUAAAGUAUAUAUUAUUUCUUAUUUA